AGCGAACGCUGGCGGCAGGCCUAAUACAUGCAAGUCGAACGGUCUCUUCGGAGGCAGUGGCGGACGGGUGAGUAACGCGUGGGAAUAUGCCCUUUGGUACGGAACAACUGAGGGAAACUUCAGCUAAUACCGUAUGUGCCCUUCGGGGAAAGAUUUAUCGCCAUUGGAGUAGCCCGCGUUGGAUUAGGUAGUUGGUGGGGUAAAGGCCUACCAAGCCUACGAUCCAUAGCUGGUCUGAGAGGAUGAUCAGCCACACUGGGACUGAGACACGGCCCAGACUCCUACGGGAGGCAGCAGUAGGGAAUCUUGCGCAAUGGGCGAAAGCCUGACGCAGCCAUGCCGCGUGAAUGAUGAAGGUCUUAGGAUUGUAAAAUUCUUUCACCGGGGAAGAUAAUGACGGUACCCGGAGAAGAAGCCCGGCUAACUUCGUG
rnacentral:rRNA from 1 species